AACGAACGCUGGCGGCAUGCCUAACACAUGCAAGUCGAACGAAACCUUCGGGUCUAUUGGCGCACGGCUUCGUAACGCGUGGGUACCUUCCCUUAUGGUCGGCAUAACUCCCCGACAGGGGUGCUAUUACCGGAUAAUGUCUUCUGACCAAAGAUUUAUCGCCUUUGGUUGGGCCCUCGUUGGAUUAGAUAGUUGGUAGGGUAAAAGCUUACCAAGGCGACGAUCCACAGAUGGGCUGAGAGGAUGAUCAGCCACACUGGGACUGAGACACGGCCCAGAAUCCUACGGGAGGGAGGAGUGGGGGAUAUUGGACCAUGGCGGAAGGGCUGAUCGAGCACGGACGGGUGAGUGAUGAAGGCAUGAAGGUUGUAAAGCUCUUUUAACCGGGAUGAUAAUGACAGUACCGGGAGAAUAAGCCCCGGCUAACUACGUG
rnacentral:rRNA from 1 species